rnacentral:rRNA from 1 species
CCUACGGGAGGCUGCAGUCGAGAAUCAUUCACAAUGGGGGAAACCCUGAUGGUGCGACGCCGCGUGGGGGAAUGAAGGUCUUCGGAUUGUAAACCCCUGUCAUGUGGGAGCAAAUUAAAAAGAUAGUACCACAAGAGGAAGAGACGGCUAACUCUGUGCCAGCAGCCGCGGUAAUACAGAGGUCGCAAGCGUUGUUCGGAAUCACUGGGCGUAAGGCGUGCGUAGGCUGUUUCGUAAGUCGUGUGUGAAAGGCGCGGGCUCAACCCGCGGACGGCACAUGAUACUGCGAGACUAGAGUAAUGGAGGGGGAACCGGAAUUCUCAGUGUAGCAGUGAAAUGCGUAGAUAUCGGGAGGAACACUCGUGGCGAAGGCGGGUUCCUGGACAUUAACUGACGCUGAGGCACGAAGGCCAGGGGAGCGAAAGGGAUUAGAUACCCGGGUAGUC